rnacentral:rRNA from 1 species
GUGACGGAGUAGUGAAAGGACUGCGUACUGACGGAAUAGUACGUUAAAGCGUGUAGGUAUUGGCAGUGUAGGUAAAUCCGCACAGCUAGCUGAACGUGAUAGUACCGCGAGCCUUCGGGCAAGCGGAUAAUGUCCCUAAUCAGACUUCCAAGAAAAACCUCUAAGCUUCAGAUUAUUGCUACCCGUACCGCAAACCGACACAGGUAGUCAAGGAGAGAAUCCUGAGGUGCUCGAGUGAUUCAUGGCUAAGGAACUAGGCAAAAUGGCCCUGUAACUUCGGGAGAAGGGG